rnacentral:rRNA from 1 species
CAUCAGGUAGUACAGAGGGUUUGAUCAUGGCUCAGAUUGCGCUGGUAGGAUGCUUUACACAUGCAAGUCGAACGCGCAGCACGGACUUCGGUCUGGUGGCGAGUGGCGAACGGGUAGCACACUGGAACGCCUAGUGCGGGGAUAACUACGCGAAAGCGGAAGCACAUCGCAUACGCCCUUCGGGGGAAAGUGGGGACCUUCGGGCCUCGCACCAUUAGAGGCCGAUAUCGGAUUAGCUAGUUGGUGGGGGUAACGGCUCACCGUUGGCGACGAUCCGUAGCUGGCUUGAGAGGACGACCAGCCACACCGGGACUGGAGACACGGCCCAGACUCUACGGGAGGCAGCAGCGGGGAAUUUUGGACAAUGGGGGAAACCCCGAUCCAGCCAUCCCGCGUGUGCGAUGAAGGCCUUCGGGUUGUAAAGCACUUUGGCAGGAAAGAAACGGCACGGGAUAACACCUGCAACUGACGGUACCUGCAGAAUAAGCACCGGCUAACUACGUGCCAGCAGCCGCGGCACAUGUAGGUGUUAAUCGGAAUUACUGGGCGUAAAGCGUGCAGGCGGUUCGGAAAGAAAGAUGAAUCCAGAGCUAACUUUGGAACUGCAUUUUUAACUACCGAGCUAGAGCAGUCAGAGGGAGGUGGAAUUCGCGUAGCAGUGAAAUGCGUAGAUAUGCGGAGGAACACCGAUGGCGAAGGCAGCUCUCCUGGAUAACACUGACGCUCAUGCACGAAAGCGUGGGGAGCAAACAGAUUAGAUACCCCGGUGGUCCCACGCCCCAAACGAUGUCAACUAGCUGUUGGGGCCUGGGCCUGGUAGCGCAGCUAACGCGUGAAGUUGAACGCCUGGGGAGUACGGUCGCAAGAUUAAAACUCAAAGGAAUUGACGGGGACCCGCACAAGCGGUGGAUGAUGUGGAUUAAUUGAUGCAACGCGAAAACCUUACCUACCCUUGACAUGUCUGGAAUCCCGAAGAGACGGGGAGUGUUUCCGCAGAACCGAACACAGGUGCUGCAUGGUUGUCGUCAGCUCGUGUCGUGAGAUGUUGGGUUAAGUCCCGCAACGAGCGCAAACUCCUUGUCAUUAGUUGGCGCAUGAAAGGGCACCAUCGAGAUUGCCGGUGACAAACCGGAGGAAGGGGGAUGACGUCAAGUCCUCAUGGCCCUUAUGGGUAGGGGCUUCACACGUCAUACAAUGGUCGGGACAGAGGUCGCCAACCCGGCGAGGGGAGCCAAUCCUGCGAAACCCGAUCGUAGUCCGGAUCGUAAACUCGACUGCGUGAAGUCGGAAUCGCUAAAAUCGCGGAUCAGCAUGUCGCGGUGAAUACGUUCCCGGGUCUUGUACACACCGCCUACGGCACCAUGGGAGUGGGUUUCACCAGAAGUAGUUAGCCUAACCGUAAGAGGGCGAUUACCACGGUAGAUUCAUGACUGGGGUAGUCGUAACAAGGUAG